rnacentral:rRNA from 1 species
UACGUAGGGUGCAAGCGUUGUCCGGAAUUAUUGGGCGUAAAGAGCUCGUAGGCGGUUUGUCGCGUCUGCUGUGAAAACUCAGGGCUUAACUCUGAGCUUGCAGUGGGUACGGGCAGACUAGAGUGCGGUAGGGGAGACUGGAAUUCCUGGUGUAGCGGUGAAAUGCGCAGAUAUCAGGAGGAACACCGGUGGCGAAGGCGGGUCUCUGGGCCGGAACUGACGCUGAGGCGCGAAAGCGUGGGGAGCAAACAGG